rnacentral:lncRNA from 1 species
CUGUCCCUUUACCUUUUCUUUACGUUCCAAGUCGCCUUUAGUCUAGUUGUCGAGAUGAUCUAUUCGUUCUACUUCAUUUUCUGAUCGCCAUGAAUAUAUAACAUUGUUUAAUUUUUUACUUUGUUUUACCUCAAGUUGAACGAAUAAACCAAGAAUGUCAACAUUAUGAGUUAGGUGUUGUAUCGGCCAUCGUUUCGAAUUGUUAAAUCGAAUUUGUUGCUGCCCGUUUUGACUCGUUACUAAUUCAUUUUGGUCGAGUCUAUUUUGAAAGGCAAGUUUUGGUUUUCCCUCUUUGUAGUUUACAACAUGUCCUAUUUUUCUUGUUUCUAUUCUCAAGUUCGAUGCCUACGGCUCGUUCCUUUCGCCUCUUGAAGUGUUGAAAUCUGAAAGUUUGCGUGAUAUUGUCUUAUUGUCAACUAGAAUUUAGUUGUUUACUGAUGUUAGUGCACUUCUCGGUAAGCAUCGGUUCUAUCCCCGAUUAAAUUUAGCUUGUAUGUCAUUUUGGUCUCAACCCUGAAGCAUGCUAAAAUUUGAUUUAAAUGUCUGUACCCAAAUCAUUUUCAUUCAAUGGUGUUUGGUUGCCUCCUCCGUCCCUUCCCCAUUAUUGUUUGAAGUGUAGCAUGUUCCUGCUUAGCUUACCUCCUUUUAUCCAUGUUCGUGUCUCCAUCUGACGUAGAGUUUUAGUCAAAGAAAAAUGCCUAAUUUUGCUGCUUAAGUAUGAGUUUCUUAGCAUGCCUCCCUUAUCUCUUUCUUAUUUUGGUUUUUUUUUCAUGAGGUCUAUAUUGGUAUUGCUCAAGUAUAUAGUUCAUUCUACUUUAGUAUAGAAUACUAAUAUUUGUUGUUAGAUUUGAACUUAGUGUAUGUUAGUCGAUGCAGUCUUUGGAUAUCAAUUUCAGUGGGGGUGUGGCCCUUUUGUGUGGCUAGUCUAUUUAAAAUUUGAGAUUGCUUUGUCUUAGCUAAUUUUAAGAGAUUAAAUGCUAGUUUCAUUUUGUCGAUUUAAGUUGUCAUUUUCCCAAAAUUUAAGUCAAUCUUUAAUAUAGUUUUACUUGGUCUAUUCUCUAAUGUUGCUUUAUAAAUUAAUUAGUCAUCUUCUGUAUGUGAUAUGUCAUUAAAACUUAUUUGUCUUAUUUGCAUUAAAUUGGUCCAAGUUUCUAUUCAUUUUUUGUAUGUUAUGGCAGUGUGUUUCUUAUUGGCUCAUCUUAUAAUUUUAUUUGAAAACAUAUGUAAAUUUAUAUGAGUUUAAAUGGAUAAUAAGGGAAUUAGGGGUUUUCCUUCCUCCUUGAAUCAGAUUAUGCGUCAAGUAUUUAGGGUAAUCAUUUCUUGAUUGUUCGUUUCAAUUAACUUCUUUACUUAUUAUUUGAUUUUUCCCUUGAGAUUUAGAAUGAUCAGAUGUCUUAAUGCGUCCUAUUAAAUUUCCUUUGAUAGCAUUAUUAAUUCAAGUGCGUUACAUUUUAUCUAUGUUUGACUUUACUUGGGAUUCUUAAGAUCUGUUAGAUCAGCCUCUAUUAAAUACUUACUAAUUCAUUUCUUCUAUCCCUUUUUUCUUUACAUGUGCAAUCUGCCAGAGUUCACUACAAACUCUUAUCUUCUUUCUUGCAUUUUGGAAGAGCCAUAAAGGUUCAAACCAUCUUUAUCGAGUCAGCCAACUAAAUUUCGACGAACAGGUCUCGAAAGUGGAAAGAUGUGAAAGCGGAGGAGAAUUGAAAAGAUUGGCCCACUCUUUAUACCAAAAAUGUAUUCUGUUAUUAUUAGGCUUAAGUCUAUCUAGUCAUUAUGUUUAUUAUUUUGUUAGAAUUUAGGACAGGUGAAAAGUUGGGCCUUCAAAGGAAAAAUAUUCUUUUACGUUUGUAUAGGACAGGUGCAGGUGACUCAAACGGGCCUUCCCCAAAAUAAAAACGAGCCCAAGUACUGGUCCAGGCGAACAUUAAAACCAAAUUUUGGCCCAAAUAUCUUCCCCUCUUCAUAUUGAAUAUGUUUAUUUACUCGUUAGUAUUUGCCGUUGAUCUUAAGGUCGAAAAAUUUAAACCCCAAGAAGACACCCAUUUUAAUUAAUCACUUAACUAAAUUAUCCGUCUCUUACUUGGCUUAAAAAGUAAAAUAAAAUAAAAUAAAUAAGGUUACAAAAUACUUCACUUAAAUAAAUAUUUUCUAUUUCUCCCUUAAAAUGGUUCUAACUGUAAAAUGGUUUAGUUUUGCAAUUCAAGCUAAGUUAAAAUUAUUUUAACCAAAUAAUUAAAUGCCAGAAAACCGCAUAUUUGCUGGCAUUUUGGGUGCUUUCAAAUCCUUUUCGAAAUGCUAAUAUGAACCCCAUACCCUUUAAAUAUUUUCAAUUGAUUUUUGUUUUAAUCUUUUGAAAAAAUGGUUUUCUUGAUUUUUUUUCUUUAAAAAUUAAGUGACGACUCUUAAAACCAAUCUUAAGUCGAAUAAUUAUUAUAAAAAUAAAACAGAAUGACGACUCUGCUGGAGAAAUGAAUGGGUUCUAAUCUUAAAAUUGAUUUGUUUGGCUAUGUGUUUUAAGUGCUACUUGUUUCAAUUUUUGUAAAUUAUAAAUUGUUGCAUUCAUAGCAUUUCUUGUUGUAUGUAUUGUAUAUUAAGAACGGUUUCUACAUAAUCGCAACCGGACUUUUUAUACUCAACCCUUUUCUGAAAGAAUCGGCAAUUUAUUGGUACGUCAUGCGUCCAAUGAUUGUCGUGAGUUCUUGCCUAAGUUGUCCAAUUGGGUUCACGGUCUUUCAAAAGUCACUCUUAGCCAACUAGCGUAGAGCGAAACCAAAUCCCUAAUUUAGUGCAUUUUGAACUAAGUUAACCCAACACUCAAGGCUUGUUGGGCCCAUUAGAGACCACCUUAAGUCCAAAAUGGCCCAUGGCCUAAACGGACGAUCAUACUUAUGAAUUUAAAUUUGAAGGUUGUAUACGUCGUUUGGCACACCAUCGUUCCUUGGGGUCGGGAAUUUAAUAGUUUGUUCUAGUCGAAGAAGGAGCUAUCCAAGCUACUAGUCCAUCGUAAGUCGUUGGCACCUGGAGAUGACAAGAAGUUGAAGAAUGAAGGUCCUUCAUUGGAAGCAUAGUUUAGGAUUGUACCUCUGCGUGAGACUGACUAUUUGUAUUCCAUUUUCCCUGUUUUGUAUCCCCAUUUAGUUUAUCCAUAAAAUUUGUAUAAUUUGGGUUUUGGGACAAUGAAAUGUUUCAAAUGAUAUAUACAUCCUUCAAAUCGUUAGGUCUACCCUUGGCAUGAAAGGGUCACAUAUUUGUUUAGAACGCGCAAUAACUGUUUAUGUGUCAUAACUGUUUGUGUAAUUAUGUUGCUUUAUUUGGAGAUGUUCUAGCCUACACUUUUUGGAAAAUUUCUAGAAACCCCUAAGCACAAAUAUUGAGUCACUAUCAAAAGUGCGUCCAAAUACUCUUCGAGUCUUUAGUUUCCCAAGAAAAUUCGAACUUCAUUUUUCAAAUCUUACUCUCUCAUGACAGAAAUAAAUUUUCCAUCUCAAAUAAAAAAAGAUUCAAGUUGGUCGAACUACGUAGGACCUGAAUUCUCUUUUGUGAGAUACGUAGGCAGCCUUUCAAGAUUCGGUCCCCAUUUCUGAGAAAUUCUAUAUUUCCAACUCUUACAAAGAAAUUAGAGUUACAUCUCAAUCAAAAAUCAAAGUAUGAAAAUGAAAUAUACAAUCGACUUUGUCCCAACUCAAGUCGACAUUUUUGGUCCACUAAGCUCAAAAUCAAAUAAUCAAAUUUCUGUCUAUUUAGUCAUUUCUCUAUAUAGGCGGGCUAGUUUAUCUUCAAGUGAAGCAACUCUUACAUGUUUAUAUUUCUCUAAUGGGUGUGAUAUUUUGUAUUAUUUAUCAUCGACACAGACUAACACAUUUGCCUUUGAGUUGUUUUUCUUUGUCAGGUACUUAAAACUGAUUUGUGUUGAGAAAAUGGCAGAACAUCCAUACUUCACAAGGUUCAAAGACCCCAAAGAUCCCCUCUCCGACCAAUGUUUGUCAAAAGGCAAAGAAAAAGUGGUUGAAAAUGCUGAGAACACUGAUUUGACCGAAAUUACUGUGAAUGACCCCAUUAUUGCUGAACAGAACAAGUUGAUUGCACAAUUGCUCCAAUAGAUUGUUAAAAUGAGGGCUUAAAUGGAUAAAACCCGAGAUUUGACUAAUUUGGCUAUCAUUGCCAACGCUCCUAAUCCAGAUAACGAAAGGCCUCUACUUCAUUUUCCUAUUUCGGAUCCAACAUCCGAACGUUUUCCAAACAAUUCAACCACCGCUACGAUUCCAAAACCUCCCUUCAUCGACUUAACCACCCCUAAUCCACACCAUGCUAGCUCCUCACACCAAAAGUCACAUAUUCCUCAAAAUCCAAAUACCAAUGUUUACCAUAAUUUUUCUCCGAUCCAUCAAACCCCCUACUCAAAUUGUUCAAAAUCCACCUACCACUCAACCCAUUGCUCUAAAAACUGCUUUUCAUAUUUCAACGUCGCCAGAAUCAUACCCUCAAUUUACCACACAUUUUUUAACUUGAUGAUUGUGAGAAGAAGGAGAAGGAGCGGAAAGUCAUAAAAGGAAAGGUUGAGCAAGGCAUCAGAGAGGAAAUCAUGAAUGCAAUGAAGGACUUUCAAUACACUUCAGACAUUGUCUGGUUAAAUUAUGAAGAUUUGUGUCGUCAUACACAUUUGAAGCUUCCAAAAGGUUUUAAAGUACCAAAGCUUGAUACAUUUAGUGGAGUUGAGAAUCCUUUGACUCAUUUGAAGGCUUAUUGUGAACAACUCAUUGAAGUUAGGAAAGAUGAAGCUUUGUUGAUGCGACUCUUUAGCCGAAGUCUAAAAGGAGAAGCGUUGGAAUGGUUUAUUUCUAAAGAAAACAAGCAGUGGCCAAGUUGGAAUGUUUUGGCUAAAGACUUCAUUGAAAGGUUUGACUACAAUGUAGAAUUCAUUCACGAUCGAUACUCUUUGUAAAGAAUCAAACAGAAUUCUACUGAAAGCUAUCGAGAGUAUGCCUACCAUUGGAGAAAAGAGGCUGCAAGGGUUAGGCCUCCCAUGAUCGAGAAAGAAAUUGUUGAAGUUUUCGUGCGCAUUCAAGAGUCGGAGUACUACAAUAGGAUGUUACUCAUUUUAGGAGGGAAGUUCAGUGAGAUAGUUAAAAUUGGUGAAGCUAUUGAAGACGGUCUCAAGACUGGCAAAAUCAUCCGAAUGACUCCUCGAGAUGAAUCCUCAGGACCAUUGAGGAGGAAGAGGAAAGAUGUUUCCUCUAUCUCAUUUGAAUCGAGCCAAAAAUCAAAGAGGCAUGCCAGUGUUAAUGUUCGAAAGCCUUCACUAUCCAAAACCUACCUUUUAACUCCACAAAAUCCUUACCCCAUCAAACCAAAUUACCAAACUCCACUACCAAAUCAUCCAAAUUACCAAGCUCCAUUGCCAAAUUACCCAAAUGCUUAAUCAAGUCACCAAGCUGUAUUACCAAAUUACCCAAAUGCCCUUUAUAGUGUCACGACUCGGGAGCACCCCCAAGUCGUAACAAGGCGUACUCGACCCCGAAAGGGUCUUAUACAAACCACAUAGUCAUUCAUUGCAUUCAAUAAUGAUAAUAGUGCGGAAUGAAAAACUUAUUUACAUCCACAUCAUUCAAACUUCAUUAAAACAACUUUAAAAACACACAGCGGAAGUCUAAGUCUCACAUGGCCAUCUUAGACACAAUCACAAAACAUAAGUAGGGACACGACCCUUUACAAUCGAAACAAAACUAAAAGUGUCUAUUACAUGAACAAAAGAACUUAAAAGUCUUAUCCUCGAAUCCAUGAGGACAUACCAAGUCUUGGAGGAAAGCAAUCCAACACUUCAAACUAGCUAGGAGGGAUCACUUGCCGGAACCUACACUUAUAGUAAAAACAUGAAGAAUAUGGGUUAGUACACAAAAUGUACUAAGUAUGAUGACCAUGCAAAACAUGCUUUAAAAGGGACAUUUUGGUUAGAAACCAUGCAUUAUGCCACUUUUUGAAGUACCAUGAAUAGUUGCAUAAAAGACAUACAAUACAAACAUAAACAUCAAGUAAGUCAUAAUAUCACCUUUAAACAAUAUCAACAUGAAAACCUUUACCUUGGACCUUCACCUCAAGAAACCCUUAUGCUAUACCUCGUGCAAUGUAUGGAUGGCGUCCCAUACCACCAUCCAUACUAAGGCACCACAUUAAGGUCACUUAAAGUAACUUAUCAUUCCUUUCUUUCACCUUUGCACAAUAUUCAUACAUAAGAGGUAUAUCACUAAUUAAGACAUGACAAGGGAAAAUAACUCAUAAUAUAACCCAAGUAUAGCAUGCAUCUCAUAUUAAGCAUUUGAGAGCCAACAUUCUUUAAUAACCUCAUUUAGGCCACAAUUGUAUCACAUACAUUAGGAUUUAGAGAAACUCACUAUGACCCUCUCCAAGACUACUCGUGCAAUGUAUAGGUAGCAUCCCAUACUACCACCUACACUUUGUAGAACCUAUCAAGAAACCAUAAUGAAAUCUCACAUGAUGGGAAGUAAGCAUUUAACCGACAUAGACCAUGAGAGCUUGUAAUGGAAUCCGGUGUCAUAAGUCCCCACACCGUAAAGAGGUGGUCUACUUGCCUAAGGAAGACCGGUAUAUAUAGCUUAAUGGAUCCACUAGCUUCCUAUGCGGGCACAUAGUUUAUGGGAUAAGGUAGACGAUCAUUGAAACUCAUGCCUAACUGUCGGGGGAGUUUCCAUCUAACCAAAUCCGCUCGGUGCUUAGCCUACAUUCCCAUAGAAUAGUUCAUUACUUUGACAUCAUCACACAUGAAAGGGUGCCAUAAGCCUACCGAUUCAAGGUACAUUAUUUAACACAUGAAAGGGUGCAAUAAGCCUGCCGAUUCAAGNNNNNNNNNNNNNNNNNNNNNNNNNNNNNNNNNNNNNNNNNNNNNNNNNNNNNNNNNNNNNNNNNNNNNNNNNNNNNNNNNNNNNNNNNNNNNNNNNNNNNNNNNNNNNNNNNNNNNNNNNNNNNNNNNNNNNNNNNNNNNNNNNNNNNNNNNNNNNNNNNNNNNNNNNNNNNNNNNNNNNNNNNNNNNNNNNNNNNNNNNNNNNNNNNNNNNNNNNNNNNNNNNNNNNNNNNNNNNNNNNNNNNNNNNNNNNNNNNNNNNNNNNNNNNNNNNNNNNNNNNNNNNNNNNNNNNNNNNNNNNNNNNNNNNNNNNNNNNNNNNNNNNNNNNNNNNNNNNNNNNNNNNNNNNNNNNNNNNNNNNNNNNNNNNNNNNNNNNNNNNNNNNNNNNNNNNNNNNNNNNNNNNNNNNNNNNNNNNNNNNNNNNNNNNNNNNNNNNNNNNNNNNNNNNNNNNNNNNNNNNNNNNNNNNNNNNNNNNNNNNNNNNNNNNNNNNNNNNNNNNNNNNNNNNNNNNNNNNNNNNNNNNNNNNNNNNNNNNNNNNNNNNNNNNNNNNNNNNNNNNNNNNNNNNNNNNNNNNNNNNNNNNNNNNNNNNNNNNNNNNNNNNNNNNNNNNNNNNNNNNNNNNNNNNNNNNNNNNNNNCAACUUACCAUCCUCCAAAGCCAUAAUAACCAUUACUCAAUUCCCAACAAUUCUAUCACCACAAGGUGAUUCACCCAUAAUUUGCCCAUAAGGCCACAAUCCUCAAUUCAUCCAUAUACCAACAAUUCAUCAUAAAUAGAUAUACAAAACCAUAUAAAUCAACAAUACAAUCCGAUCUAAACACAAUUUCAUCAACAUUAAAUCAUAGGCAUUAAACCCACUUCAUAAGCAAAUUCUAGGCUUUUAAUGAAAACAUGGGUUCUUGAAGAAGUUUCAUAUAAAAUCAUCUUAAAAUCAUAAAUAGAACUUCAAUUCACCAAUAUAAUGACUUUGAAAACAUUUUACCCAUGAACCCAUACCUAGAAUAGAAAAUAGAAGUUUUGUUCUUUGAAGACUUUUGAAACCCUUUUUAAUGGACUCCUUGAAGGAAAGAUAAUCAAGGAUCAAGGGUCACCAUACCUUUGUUAAGAUUCCCCAAGAAAAUUGAUGAAGAAACCACCUUCAAACCAAGCCCUAGCUCCAAGUUCUUGACCUUCUUAAAUGGAGGAUUGUUGAAAGAGAAAUAUUUGAGAGGAGGUGGGUUUCUUUUUAAUUCUAAUGGGAGUGACUUAAAAGGAAGAAUUUUGGUCAAAAAGGGUUUUAUAAUUGCUAGGAAAUGUAAAGAAUAAAAGGGACUCAACUUAGGAAAAUAAUUAAGGACCCACAAAGUUAAACUUAAAGUUUUCACUAAACCCGUCUAAGCUCGUCCUUUUAGACAGUGCUUCACUAUUUUGGGCAUAGAUUUUUACUCCGAGAUCGGAAAAGGGCAAACUCGGUGGCGUUGGAAAGAGGACUCAGAUACCUUUAAUUGAUUAGGUAAAGUUACGCCUAUUUUGUUUUGAGCUAAAAGAUAUCAUCAUUUGAAUUUGACCCUAAAAGUCGUAACUUUAAAAAUUUGCCCCUUGCCCGUCUGUUCCAGUGGGAUUACUCAAAGGCUGGUCAACUGGGCAGUCCACUAGGCUAACUUGCUAGCCUAGGCCCUUGCUUGCACCCUAGGAUGCUACUUAGCUCCAUUUAAGUUCUAAAACAGCAUAAACAUCAACCUAAGCUCCCACUAACCCAAAUGUCAAGGCUCAAGUUCAUUCUAUCAUUUUCCGAGUCGUUACAUAUAGCCAUCAAUCUCCACAAUACCAAAAUUAUCAAACGCCAACACCUAUUCACCAAAAUCCUCCCAGUUACCGCCAAGUACCUCUAUCUUCACGAAAUAAUCUUUCUUGUCAGGGUUUUUUGAAGAAACCUACUCGAGUCUUUACUCCUUUGGUUGAAAGUCGAACCCAACUUUUUGAGAGAUUGAAAGUGGCUGGUCUGAUACGAACAAUUGAUCCAAAAAAUGUCAAUGCCAAUUCCAGACUUUACAGGCCCGAUCUUCAUUGUGCUUACCAUUCAGGAGGUGCUGGACAUACCACUAAGGAUUACAUCAACUUGAAACAUAAAAUUCAAGACUUGAUUGAUCAAAGAAUUGUCACUCUUCAAACUGUCACUUCUAAUGCCAAAAGUGAUUCGGUGUUGAAUUGUGGAGGAUUUACUAUAAAUAUGAUUGACCCAAAGUUUCAAGCACCUCCCCGUCAAAACGCUCCAAAUUAUCGUCAAAUGCCUCUACCUCAACAAGGCCAUUAUGAUCCUCCUCGUCCACGUCUUGAGAAGAAACUUGCUCGAAAUUUUACUCCUCUUAUUGAAAGUCGGACGAAGUUGUUUGAGCUAUUGAGUGUGGCAGGUAUUAUUCAUCCGGUCAAGCCCAAGCCAGUCGAUACUAGCUCAAGAUUUUACCGAGCCGAUCGAAGGUGUGCGUAUCAUUCCAACAGUGUUGGGCAUGAUACUGAAGAUUGUAUUAAUUUGAAGCACAUGAUCCAGAACUUGAUCGAUCAGAAAGUGAUCAGGACUAUUGUACCAGCAUCAACAGUAAUCCUCUGCAAAACCAUAGAGGUGUUACUAUCAAUAUGAUAGAGACGGAGGAUGAGUGGUGCAUGGUAAAGAUGAUAGUUCCGGCUGGUGCUAACAACCUUGGGAAAGUUGUAGCUUCUCCUAGCAUAAAUGAGAAACUCAAUUUUACAAGCAUGACACCCCAUCAAGCUUUUGCUUUAGUCUCAAGAGAGGGUCAGAACAAGAAGGAGAUUAAUCAUGUUCCAUCAAGGUAUGUGCCUCAUUUAUGCCAGUCCUUUCUGGUAGAGAAAUUUGCCAAUGAUGACGAUCUUGGAGAAGGAACUGGGAUCUUUUUGAAGAAGGUAAUGUUGCACCCAAGAAGAUGAUCGAGAUGCCAAGCAUACGAGAUGCCCAUUGGAGCAAGUUCUUAAUUGGACUUCCAUUCCGCUCUUGAUUCCUCGUUCAUCUUGAUAGACAAAGAUUGAUCUUAUGUUAUUUCCAAAAUUGGGGGUAGUCCGAAUGAGGCCCGGAACCCACCUUUUGUGUUAUUUUACCUAAUUAUGUUUUAAUUUCCCUCGUAACGUUUUGAAAAGGAAAAAAGGCUCAUGGUCAUAGCUAAAGUUCGUAUUUCCUUUUUUUCAAUGAAAGCCUCUUCUAUCCCGAAAAUUUAUUUUGCUUGCUUUAAUCUUUCUAUCUAACGGUCUUUGUUUCUUAUUUCUGUAAAAAAAUAAUUUUUUUUAACCUGUCAAUAGCAUGUCAUGUCACAAGCUGAAUGGACAAAAUGUGGUACAUGAAAAUGAGUUAGAAGAGCGUGAUGAGGAGAUCAUGAUAUUCGAACACCUUGUCAAAGAUUUGAAACAGUUUGAGAAUCCAAAUAAUUUGAAUCUGGAUGAGACAGAAAUUGUAAAUCUGAAAAAGGAUGACUGUGUCAAAGAAGUCAGAAUUAGGGUCCAUCUGAGAGAAGAUCCGAAAAGAGAACUCAAUAGUUCACUUGGAAAAUACAUCGAUGCAUUUGUUGGAUCACAUGUCGUGGUCGAACAUAGACAGUCAUCUCAAGUUUCCAAUCAACGCGGAUGCUAUGCAGAGCUAUUAUAUUUGAAGAUUCAGAGUUUCUUUUAUUUAUUUCCUUGUAAUAGUAUCAUUUGCUUGUAAUCGUCCUAUGUUUUAUAGUUCGAAAAUUAGCUCUUGUCAUGAACUACGUCUGACCUAAAUUCUGAAGAAUGAGAUACGUAGGCAGCCUAUGUUGGCUUCGGUCAUCCCUUCAUAUAUUUUCAAUAUUUCUCUUUUAUAUUUGAACUACGUUCGACUUGAAUUAUCAAGAUUGAGAUACGUAGGCAGCCUAUGUCGAUCUCUGUCGUUUCCUUAUUAAAAUUUCUUAAUUUUUGUUAAUCCUCAAGAGGGGAGCUACGUUUGACCUGAUUCCUACCUCAACGGGAUACGUAGGUGCCACAAUGGCUCGGUCAUAUCUCCCAUAAGUUUUCUAUUUUUCUUUACAAUAGAAACUGAGACAUAAUUUUUGAGAGGGACUCAAAAUUUCUCAAGAAGAGGAUCUCUACAACAAGUCAAGACUGAAGAUACAUUGCGAGUUGCAACUGGGACAGAAUUUUUGAGAGGGUCUCAAAAAUUCUACAAGUCAUAUAUCAAUAGUUCAAGCUACUCCAAGACAUCUAACUGGGAUAGAGAUUUCUUAGGAAGGCCUCAAAAAUUUAUCCAAGCGUAACCAGAAGUUUGUAGAUAGUUUUGAGCAUUUAGAGCAUGAUUAGAAGUUUAGAGCUAACUUCAAUUGACCUCUGGCAUAGUUGAAGUUCAUAGUCAACUUCAACAAUCUCCGACACCGUUGAAGUUCAGAGUCAACUGCAAAAAAUUUCAAUUAUAACAGAUUUCAGCAGGACCAUGUCAAAGAUUUUCAAAGCCUUAAGGAUCAUUUGAAUUCUCUAGAAGAAGUUAUCGGACACGACAAAGUUUUGAACCGAGGGAGUUCAUUAAGCUUGACGUGACAUGAUACUUGGCAUCGACGUUUUCCAAUUACAACCUUUUGAAAACUUUUUUUUUUAAAUAAAAAAAUUGCCUAUAUGUUUCAAAUAUUUUUGCAUAAAAUGUUUUGUCUUGUCUAUCAAGAAGAAAGAGAUCAGAGCGAUCAACUGAAUAUAGCAAGACAAGGAGCAAGCGUCUGAAGAAGUCAACACAGAUCAAUAUGUUUUAAAACCUAACAAUUUUUCUGUGGAUGAAGGUCUAUAAGAUUUCCUCAAGUUCACCACAUUCCUCCAUUCAACGAAUAUGGAUAAGUCAAAAGGGCGAGGAGUUCCCCAAAAUUGACAACUUUUCUGUGGAUGCAGGAAAGUCAUUAAAUUUUUUCAGAAGAAAAAGAAACAGUUCAGAAUACGAGCAACAACACCUUGUUCAAAUUCCCAGCAAAGCAUGUGUCACAAUGAAUACAAAUGUUCAAAUGAGAACAAGUGAAAGUGUCACUCUCAACAUAUACAAGCAUCUACAAUGGAAUCAAAUUACAUUUUUCAGCAUCAAAGGACAUUUCUACAGUAUUAUCAAAUGAGAUAGUACCACCACCCAAAAGGACAUCAUCGUCAUUUUAUUGAUGGAAUACCAUCAUCCUGUCAAUGGAUCAAUAUAAUCCUACCAAUGGAUCAUCAACGAAGAAUCAUCGUCCUAUCAAUGGAGCAUCAACAUCGUCCUACCAAUGGAUCAUCAAUGAAAAAUCAUCAUCCUAUCAAUGAAGCAUUAACGUCAUCAUCCAGAGUGACAUCAACAUAAUCCUAUCAAUGGAGCAUCAACGUCAUCAUCCUGCCAAUGGAUCAACAUAAUCCUACCAAUGAAUCAUCGACGAAGCAUCAUCAUCCUAUCAAUGGAGCAUCAACAUCACCCUACUAAUAGAGCAUCAAUAUCAUCCUACUAAUGGAUCAUCAACCAAGAAUCAUCAUCCUAUCAAUGGAGCAUCAACAUCAUCCUACCAAGGGAUCAUCAACGAAGCAUCAUCAUCCUAUCAAUGGAGCAUCAACAUAAUCCUACCAAUGAAUCAUCUUUCUAUCAAUGAAGCAUCGUCAUCCACAUCAUAUCAAGUCAUCAUCUACUACAUCAAAACCGAUGGAGGCUGACGUCACAACAUUUAUAGAAAAAAACAUUUGUUGAAUACGGUAAAAUGUAUCACUUCUUUAUUUAAAUUAUAGUUUCUGCUAACAAAUUUAUUUCAUUCUUUGUCGAGAACAUCCAAGAGGAUGAAUUCUCAAAUCAAACCACAGGUGCAAACGACAUUAGAAAAGAUGCAGCACAAUGUGGAACUUUUCUUUAGCGCGAGCUGAGAAGCGAAUAAUCAUCGAGCCAUCCACCUCGUUAUAGUUGGAAAAUCAUCGAGCCAACCACCUUGUUACAAUUGGAUAUUCAUCGAGCCAUCUACCUUGUUACAGUUGGAAAAUCAUCGAGUCAUCCACCUCGUUACAGUUGGAUAAUCAUUGAGCCAUCUAGUUCAUUGCAUAGAUCACCGGAGUUUGCCAUGUAGAAAAUAAUCAAUGACAUCUCCAAAUCCUCAGCAAAUCAUGAGUUGUAAUGGAUAUACUGUGUUCGAAAGCGGUAUCCAUUAUCUUUUACUCUCAUUACUUCUUUAUUUUCUCAUCUAGUUGAAAAAGAUGUUUAUGCCUAUUCAUUAAGAUAAACUAUUUGUUAUAUGAAUGAUCUUCCUUUAUUUUUUGACUCAAACCGCUAGCUAAAGCGGCACUAUGUCUACUAAUUAUUUACUUUGAGUGUGCAGACAUAUACUGAACAUACUUAUGUGACAUCUGUCACAACAAGAGUAACUAAAAAGCAUCGUAAGAGAUUCUACCACUUUUUCCAAUUACAGUUUUUACUAACAAGUUUAUUUCAGUCUUUAUCGAGAGCAUCCAAGAGGAUGAAUUCUCAAAUUAAACCACAGGUGCAAACGACAUCAACAAGGAUGCAACACAACGUGGAACUUUUUCUUAGCAGCGAACUGAACAUAGUACAAAGAGGAGUAUCAAACUCUUAGGACGCGAGCUGAGGAACGACUUCCACCACAAUCAAACCACACCCCUAUUAAAAGGCAUGUGGGUUUUUCUUUAGGUUUCAUGGUUUCAGUUUCGCAUCCGAAUUUUUUUUGUCUCCACCGGAAGCAGCUUUCUAAUCCAAGUGACAAUGCGCCAAGAGCUUUGGAAAUCAUUUUCGUGUAAGUUCUUAAUUAUGGGUGUGAAGCACGCCACAUUCAUGGCUAAGAGGUUGCAAGCCUCAUUUCAUACUCGAUUCAUUUUGUCACUCUUCCAGAACCAAAGGUCAUCUUGCUAGAUUUCCUUUUCAACCGAUAGAAUCAAACUAAAAGCAGCCUGAUUUCAUAAAUUGAGGAAUAUGUAGGCUGGAUCAAUGUUGAAAGCUCGGCUGUAUUCCAACAUUCGGUCUUAAACCUUAUUCUCAAGCAUUUCGGUACCUCCAUAAUUCGAUAUCGGGAUGACUUAUAAAUUCUUUUAGAAUCGUGCGUUAAAUCAAGCGUUUCGAACUACAAGUGGCCUGAAUUCUCAUAUAGCCUGAGAUAUGUAGGAAACCCAUUUUUUGGGGUUCAGCCACAAUUCUUAAAGUCCGUACCAAAAUACCCUUUUCAGAAAAGAUGAAGACAUAGUCGGUCAAAAUUGGUUUAGUCAAUUUCAUUUACCUCAAAUUUCUUGCAUCAAUCCGAAUAAAAUGAGGGACAGUUGUUGACACCCAAUUUUGACCCUCCCCGAUAGGAAUCAAUUCACGAGCUUCUCAAUUUUCAAACGAUUUAGAAUAAUUAGUUUUAUAAAAUUCAAAUAUUUCUCGAGGUUACUUUAAGUAAGUCUAGUCGAUUUUUAUAGUAUUUUAUAAUCAUAUGUAUAAUUAGUGUUUCUUAAAUAUUCAAAAAUUGUCUAAAAAAAGGAUUUUAAUUUUAGUAAGUACUUUAUUAAAUUAGUUAGUUUAAAUUAUGGCUAUAAUUUUGAAUCAUUUAAUUUAUAAUUAAAUUAACAAUUUUAUUUCGUUAAGAUCAAGAAGCUCAUAAAUUAAUUAUAUUAUUUCGUCUCAUUUAUGUCGUCAACUGAGUUCGCCAAAUCUAAUUCAAUUUGGGCUAAAGUUUCGACUUAAAAAUUGGUUACAAUUGUAAUUCAAUUACAAAUAUAGUCAUUCCCUAUUUUGGACUUCAAUUUUUUAAAAAGGGGACCGACUUUAGGCUAUUAUUUGCAAAUCUCGGCAGCCACAAUUCUCAUCCCUGCCAUUUCAAGAUUUUGAGCCCAUUUCCCUUGUUCUCAAUUAAUUCCCAACCAAUCCCAACUGCUAUUCAACUCAGCCGAGCCCAAUUUCCCUCGACCCAGCCCAAUUCUGUGUCCACAAAUAAGAAGAGCGCGUGCAAUUCCUAGAAGAACACAACAGCAGUCCAACGUGACAAAGAAACAACGUCCAUUCAAACUUCAUGGCGCAACAACGAUGACGACAAUCUAAGUGGCAUGUACAAUUCUCGAGCAGCAACGAUGUUCACAAGGAAAUGGAAUCAGAAAACGGCGUCAAUACACGAAAAUCGCAGGAGCAGUACUGUGAUUUUCCUUGUCUUCUUUUUCUUCCCGUCCUUUUCAACAGUACAAUCGCAACAUCACGCAUCCUACCCCUUCCCUUUUUCGGAAUUGGGCGAAUUUUCAGAGAAAAGUAUGUUUACCUUAUUGGUGAAAGAUUUUUGAGGGUUUGAAUUUCGAAAUGGGAAUUCCGAUUUUUCCCUGCCCCUAUCCGAUUUUCUCACCUUUUUUUCCCACGAAAAAACCCUAGAUUCUUCCUAUAUAAGCUCCUUUUCUUCUUCAUUGUAGGGGGGAUUUUUUUUUGAAGUAAUAGCCUCCCUUAAGUCACGGAAAAUAUAGUAACAAAACUACAAAGUUAUACAAGGUCACGAAACCAAAUACACCAAGAUCAGUUUCUGUUUUUCCUCUGUUCGCUGUUACUAUAAUUCGUUGGGAUUCUUGGAGUUUCCUUUGUGGUCACGGAAAGCUCUCGCUCAACUCGCUUGGUCCCCGCCCGCUGCCCCGAGAAAGGUAUAAACCUUCUCUCUGUAUCUCGUUCUCAAUGUAGUAUAUUGUGUGUAUUCGAUAUUUGUUUUUCUUGUGAGUUUUCGGACUAUAAGCUUGGAUCUGAAAUCAAUAAGGUUUACUUUGAUUCAUGUUGGUCAUGUUGUUCACACUUAUAUGAUUUACACUUUGAAUAUGUUGGUUAUGAUGCUCUGUCCCUUUACCUUUUCUUUACGUUCCUAGUCGCCUUUAGUCUAGUUGUUGAGAUGCUCUAUUCGUUCUACUUUAUUUUCUGAUCGCCAUGAAUAUAUAACAUUGUUUAAUUUUUUACUUUGUUUUACCUCAAGUUGAACGAAUAAACCAAGAAUGUCAACAUUAUGAGUUAGGUGUUGUAUCGGCUAUCGUUUCGAAUUGUUAAAUCGAAUUUGUUGCUGCCCGUUUUGACUCGUUACUGAUUCAUUUUGGUCGAGUCUAUUUUGAAAGGCAAGUUUUGGUUUUCCCUCUUUGUAGUUUACAACAUGUCCUAUUUUUCUUGUUUCUAUUCUCAAGUUCGAUGCCUACGGCUCGUUCCUUUCGCCUCUUGAAGUGUUGAAAUCUGAAAGUUUGUGUGAUAUUGUCUUAUUGUCAACUAGUAUUUAGUUGUUUACUGAUGUUAGUGCAAUUCUCGGUAAGCAUCGAUUCUAUCCCCGAUUAAAUUUAGCUUGUAUGUCAUUUUGGUCUCAACCCUG